GACGAACGCUGGCGGCGUGCCUAAUACAUGCAAGUCGAGCGGACCACUUCGGUGGUCAGCGGCGGACGGGUGAGUAACACGUGGGCAACCUGCCUGUAAGACUGGGAUAACACCGGGAAACCGGUGCUAAUACCGGAUAAUCCUUCUCUUCUCAUGAAGAGAAGCUGAAAGACGGUUUCGGCUGUCACUUACAGAUGGGCCCGCGGCGCAUUAGCUAGUUGGUGAGGUAACGGCUCACCAAGGCAGCGAUGCGUAGCCGACCUGAGAGGGUGAGCGGCCACACUGGGACUGAGCCACGGCCCAGACUCCUACGGGAGGCAGCAGUAGGGAAUCCUCCGCAAUGGACGAAAGUCUGACGGAGCAACGCCGCGUGAGCGAUGAAGGCCUUCGGGUCGUAAAGCUCUGUUGUCAGGGAAGAACAAGUACCGGAGUAACUGCCGGUACCUUGACGGUACCUGACCAGAAAGCCACGGCUAACUACGUGCCAGCCGCCGCCGUAA
rnacentral:rRNA from 1 species